UAGAUGCUUUACAUACAAACGCAUCCGCCUGGGAACUACGAGCGCUAGCUUAAAACCCAAAGGACUUGACGGUGUCUCAGACCCACCUAGAGGAGCCUGUUCUAGAACCGAUAAUCCCCGUUAAACCUCACCACCCCUUGUUUUCCCCGCCUAUAUACCGCCGUCGCAAGCUUACCCUGUGAAGGCCCUACAGUAAGCAAAAUGGGUACAUCCCAAAACGUCAGGUCGAGGUGUAGCUCACGAGGUGGAAAGAAAUGGGCUACAUUUUCUAUAGCAGAAUAUCACGAACGGCACCGUGAAACUAGUGCCCGAAGGUGGAUUUAGUAGUAAAAAAG
rnacentral:rRNA from 1 species